rnacentral:rRNA from 1 species
UCGAGGAUCUUUGGCAAUGGGCGCAAGCCUGACCAAGCGACGCCGCGUGUGCGAUGAAGGCCUUCGGGUUGUAAAGCACUGUCGAGGGGGAUAAAGCCCGCAAGGGUUGAUUGAUCCCUGGAGGAAGCACGGGCUAAGUUCGUGCCAGCAGCCGCGGUAAGACGAACCGUGCGAACGUUGUUCGGAAUCACUGGGCUUAAAGGGCGCGUAGGCGGCCGAUCAAGUCCGGGGUGAAAUCCUCCAGCUCAACUGGAGAAGUGCCUCGGAUACUGAUUGGCUCGAGGGAGAUAGGGGUCGAGGGAACUUCUGGUGGAGCGGUGAAAUGCGUUGAUAUCAGAAGGAACGCCGGUGGCGAAAGCGCUCGACUGGACCUCUUCUGACGCUGAGGCGCGAAAGCUAGGGGAGCAAACGGGAUUAGAUACCCCCGUAGUCC